UAUUUAAAGGUACGCGCCGCGGCCAAGGCCGCACCGUACUGGGCGGGGGUCUGGGGAGCGCAGCAGCCAUGGCAAGCUGUCUCCUGCUCAACAACGGCGCCAAGAUGCCCAUCCUGGGGUUGGGUACCUGGAAGUCCCCUCCAGGGCAGGUGACUGAGGCCGUGAAGGUGGCCAUUGACGUCGGGUACCGCCACAUCGACUGUGCCCAUGUGUACCAGAAUGAGAAUGAGGUGGGGGUGGCCAUUCAGGAGAAGCUCAGGGAGCAGGUGGUGAAGCGUGAGGAGCUCUUCAUCGUCAGCAAGCUGUGGUGCACGUACCAUGAGAAGGGCCUGGUGAAAGGAGCCUGCCAGAAGACACUCAGCGACCUGAAGCUGGACUACCUGGACCUCUACCUUAUUCACUGGCCGACUGGCUUUAAGCCUGGGAAGGAAUUUUUCCCGUUGGAUGAGUCGGGCAAUGUGGUUCCCAGUGACACCAACAUUCUGGACACGUGGGUGGUAAGACAGCCCCUGGUUGGACCUUAUUUUCGUGACUGGUUCCCUCUUCUUCUUAGAAGCAAUCUGCCUGCCAUUUCUCACAUUGCAUUUUGUUACUCUGUCCCUGUUUGCUCUUUUUUUUUUUUUUUUUUUUUUGAGUCAGGG
rnacentral:sRNA from 1 species